CUAGUCAGAUUCAGGCUCCUCUAAAAUUAAUCAUAUGAUUCAUUAGGAAACAAAUUCUUCAGUUCAGAAAUUACCAGUAACAAUCUUUUCUUCUGGGAUUAUUGCUCGCACAGAUGAGCCAAAUAAAGGACCAUUUCAAAGAUUGUGAUUAAUUUCAGAGCAAAGACACUGGCUUUGCUUUGAUUGAAGAGGAAUGUGACUUAAAUUAGGCCAGCUGACUUUGUCCUGAAGAGGACUACAGUUUCUCACAUGAUCUGCAGCAUAGCCAAGCUGUGGAUGGUGACCUCUCUGGCCAAAGCCACAGGACAUUCAACUCUGCCCUAGGACAUUUGCCCCAGUAAAGAGAAAAUAGACUGGAUGGAAAUGGAGUUGUCAGAAACUGUUGAGGGCAGCUGUAGAUUACAGAAAAAAAGCACUUCCUCAGAUCAUAGGGUAUGAUAAUUUCUCCUACUUGCACUCUGCUCCCUGAUGUAACUGAGCAUUGCUGGAUUAAGCUGAGGAGACAGGGAGAUGGAGGGGCAAGAAGUAAUCUCUUUUGCUCUGCCAGCCAAAAGAUGUCGUUAACCACAGUAAGUACUGCUGGUUUGUACUCAACAGAGGAACCUACAGAUCCCUUUGGACAUCAGGGGAGAAAAAUAUCCUUGCUGGCCACUAGCCACAAACAAGGCCUGCCCACACCACUACCACCUACUUGACAUCAAUAAGAAAAAUGUUUCUGAUGCUGACCAAAGGAGAAGAGAAAUUCAGAUGCACCCAUGAGCAAGCAAAUAUUGACACACCUAAAGUAAAAUGUGUGGAACAUUUGAUUUCUGUUUAAAUUAUUUCAGUUUAAACUCAGCCCCCCUAGCCAUAGUAGAGCACCCUCAAAUACAAUUCUUCAAACUGAAAUGUUUCCCAGGCACAAAAUCUGAGAGACAAGAGGCAGGAGUCUGUAAGGCAGGCAGAUAAAUCUCAGCCAACAGGUAAAUAAUAUACAGCAGUCACCUUUGCCCUGUUAUUUGAGUGCAGGCACAUGCAGACAUGCACAUUGUUUUAUAAGAACUGCAUAUGCACUUUCCAACAAGCAUCAUUUAUGCAUACUAUCUUCCACUGAAAUCAAGCCUCUGAGACUGCUGAAGUCAGGAAACAUUAUGAGUUCAGAAAGAAACAUCAUGUAGAGUCUAUGAAAUCUCUGGGACUCCUUGACUAUGUAUAGCAUGCUUGGGGGGACCCAGAUCUUCAGUUGUCCUUUCUAAUCUGCAACCUAAAGUCAAGGCAAAGGCUGUCAGGAGGAAAAUAUAGGACACAGCUGACUGCUUUUAGGCCACAUAC